GACGAACGCUGGCGGCGUGCCUAAUACAUGCAAGUAGAACGCACAGUUUAUACCGUAGCUUGCUACACCAUAGACUGUGAGUUGCGAACGGGUGAGUAACGCGUAGGUAACCUGCCUGGUAGCGGGGGAUAACUAUUGGAAACGAUAGCUAAUACCGCAUAAUAUUGAUUAUUGCAUGAUAAUUAAUUGAAAGGUGCAAUUGCACCACUACCAGAUGGACCUGCGUUGUAUUAGCUAGUAGGUGAGGUAACGGCUCACCUAGGCGACGAUACAUAGCCGACCUGAGAGGGGGAUCGGCCACACUGGGACUGGGACCGGGCCAAGGCUCCUGAGGGGGGGAGCAGAAGGGAAUCUUCGGCAAUGGAGGAAAAUCUGGCCGAACAACGCCGCGUGGGUGAAAAAGGUUUUGGGAGCGAAAAGCUCUGUUGUAAGAGAAAAACGGGUGUGGGAGGGGAAAGUUCCCACGGGGGGGGGAUUUUACAAGAAAGGGAGGGUAAAUUCCGG
rnacentral:rRNA from 1 species